UAUGGAAAGAUGCCAAAGAAAUACCAGAAACUGCCUGCGUCUCACAAUGGCGCUUUUUGUUUCAACUGUUUAUGCAGUUGGAGUUCUCCAUAUAAUUAAUAUGAACUAUCAUUUAUGGGGAUCCUUCUCGGAAGAACUGCUGAAUGCUGGAUAUGAAAGCUAAUGUCUUUGAGAGUCAGUGGACAAGUCUGUAACAGGGGCUUUGCUGCUGGAAGGAAAGCGACCAAGGGUCUGAUCCAAGGCAGCCUGGGGAUGAAUACAGUCAGUGCCACCACAGCAGGAACAGGCACAGUUCUGAUGGCUGUGGAAGUAAUAUAUAUCUUUUUAAGAAGAAUUUGUAUCUCUACUUAUAGCACAUUUUUUUCUGUAGUAAGUACUGUUGCACUAAUACAAUAAUAUAAAUAGGUUUUAUAUUC
rnacentral:lncRNA from 10 species